rnacentral:rRNA from 1 species
AGUGAACGCUGGCGGUAGGCCUAACACAUGCAAGUCGAACGGCAGCACAGUAAGAGCUUGCUCUUACGGGUGGCGAGUGGCGGACGGGUGAGGAAUACAUCGGAAUCUACUUUUUCGUGGGGGAUAACGUGGGGAAACUUACGCUAAUACCGCAUACGACCUACGGGUGAAAGCAGGGGAUCUUCGGACCUUGCGCGAUUGAAUGAGCCGAUGUCGGAUUAGCUAGUUGGCGGGGUAAAGGCCCACCAAGGCGACGAUCCGUAGCUGGUCUGAGAGGAUGAUCAGCCACACUGGAACUGAGACACGGUCCAGACUCCUACGGGAGGCAGCAGUGGGGAAUACUGGACAAUGGGCGCAAGCCUGAUCCAGCCAUACCGCGUGGGUGAAGAAGGCCUUCGGGUUGUAAAGCCCUUUUGUUGGGAAAGAAAAGCAGCAGGUUAAUACCCCGCUGUUCUGACGGUACCCAAAGAAUAAGCACCGGCUAACUUCGUG